GUUGUCCGACAUAAACUUACAAAGUAUAUUGAUCGCCCGGAACACAAAGUUUUCUAAUUAUUGGAAAGAAAUAAACUUUUAAAAUGCGACUUUCGGUCGUAUUCGAACUUUUGUUGAUCUUUUUGAUCAUAGCAUUUGCGGCUUACGGUAGAGUAGUUCCAGACAAUAAAGAUGUUUGGAGAACUAGUUUAAACAAUGUAAAAGAACAUUUAAAAAUGAUGGGUCAAGCUCGACAAGCGCCAGCCGUUCCAAAUCGUUAUUGUGCUUGUUCUGAUCUUAUGUGUAAUUGCUGCAGAGAUUUUUCGUUACCAGUAGUUCCAAUUAAAGGACCAGGUAUACAAUCGUUUUUUAUUGUCAU